rnacentral:tRNA from 1 species
GCGCCCAUAGCUCAGUGGAUAGAGCGCCGGACUACGAAUCCGUAGGCCGCCAGUUCGAAUCUGGCUGGGCGCACCA